GAUGAACGCUGGCGGCGUGCCUAAUACAUGCAAGUCGAGCGAACGGACGAGAAGCUUGCUUUUCUGAUGUUAGCGGCGGACGGGUGAGUAACACGUGGAUAACCUACCUAUAAUACUGGGAUAACUUCGGGAAACCGGAGCUAAUACCGGAUAAUAUUUUGAACCGCAUGGUUCAAAAGUGAAAGACGGUCUUGCUGUCACUUAUAGAUGGAUCCGCGCUGCAUUAGCUAGUUGGUAAGUUAACGGCUUACCAAGGCAACGAUGCAUAGCCGACCUGAGAGGGUGAUCGCCCACCCUGGAGCUGAGACAGGGACCAGACUCCUACGGGACGCCGCAGUCUGCAACCUUCCGCAACGGGCGAAAGCCUGACGGAGCAACCCCGCGUCAGUGAUGAAGGUCCUCGGAUCGUAAAACUCUGUUACUAGGGAAGAACAUCUGUGUCAGUAACUGUGCACAUCUUGACGGUAACUAAUCAGAAAGCCACGGCUAACUACGUG
rnacentral:rRNA from 1 species